AAAAAGAUAAGCUAAGUAAGCUAUUGGGUUCAUACCCCAUUUAUGAAAGCUUUAAUCUUUCUCUUUUUA